rnacentral:rRNA from 1 species
GACGAACGCUGGCGGCGUGCCUAAUACAUGCAAGUCGAGCGGAUGGAAGGAAGCUUGCUUCCUAAAGUCAGCGGCGGACGGGUGAGUAACACGUGGGCAACCUGCCCCUAAGAUCGGGAUAACUUCGGGAAACCGGAGCUAAUACCGGAUCUGAUUAUGUCUCACAUGAGACAUAAUGGAAAGACGGUUUCGGCUGUCACUUAGGGAUGGGCCCGGGGCGCAUUAGCUAGUUGGUGAGGUAACGGCUCACCAAGGCGACGAUGCGUAGCCGACCUGAGAGGGUGAUCGGCCACACUGGGACUGAGACACGGCCCAGACUCCUACGGGAGGCAGCAGUAGGGAAUCUUCCGCAAUGGACGAAAGUCUGACGGAGCAACGCCGCGUGAGUGAAGAAGGUUUUCGGAUCGUAAAACUCUGUUGUUAGGGAAGAACAAGUACCAUAGUAACUGAUGGUACCUUGACGGUACCUAACCAGAAAGCCACGGCUAACUACGUGCCAGCCGCCGCGGUAA